UUUAAAUGUAAAUAAAUAUUCUAAAUUAGUAUUAGUUAUAUUCUUUAAAGUUAAAGAUUUUGGCGGUAUUUUAGUCUUUUCAGAGGAGCCUGUUCUAUAAUCGAUAAUCCACGAUUAAUUUUACUUAAUUUAAUUUAAUUUGUAUAUCAUCGUAGUUUGAAUAUUUUAUAAGAAUUUUAAUAUUCUAAAUUUUUUAUAAAAAAAUAAAUCAGAUCAAGGUGCAGUUUAUAUUUAAGCAGUAAUGGGCUACAAUAAUAUUAAUUAUAUGGUUUAAAAUUUGAGAAAAUUUUAUUAAAGUGGAUUUGAAAGUAAUAAAAUUUAUUUUAAUUUUAUGAUUUUAGCUCUAAAAUAUGU
rnacentral:rRNA from 1 species